CGAUGAUCUACUGCUGUAAAAGUGGAAGUCUGGGAGAGGAGGUGAGGGUAUGCUGCUGUGCUUUCAACGCCGACGUUCGUUGGUGAUGUAUGGAGUCGUCGCUCAGGAACUCAACCCUAUCUGAUGUUCUCGACAUUUGGAAGGAUAAGGACCAGAGUACCAAACCACAAGUGUGAACGCAGCCCAAGGACUAAUCCCAAAGAAAGGCUUUGUGAAGGAUACAAACAAAAUGAAGAGGUCAGAAUCGCUGCUGACUGACUAAUAUGCACUUAAAGCAUCCUUUUAGUGGAGGUGUGUCGUAACAAAGUCGAGACCCGUACCUUGUCUCAUGUCGGUUCUAUCCUCCUCACCUUGAUAAUGGAUCGUCGGCUGACAGCUACUGUAGCCAAGAGGACCCUUCCUCAUCACUGCACACUAAUGCAGCAGAUAUGGCCUGCAUGAAUGCCUGAAUACAUUUAUAGUCGUCACAAUCACCUAUUCCGGAUUCGGUUGAAGACUCAUGAAAAUUGUUCUUGUUUACCCACAUCCCGAAUGACAAAUUACAAAUCUCUGGCAUUGUGGUGUUUUUGUGUGUAUAUUAUACUAUUAUACUGUAGCUUUUGUCUGGACAUUGUAAAAAAUGACAAGGUUUUAAAAAAACAAAUGAACAAACACACUGCCAACACCAAAUGUUGGCAUUUCUGUGCCUGCAAGCCAGACAGGCAUUAGUUCAGUCGUACAAUAUCUACUACCCAAGGAAAGGCUGACACAGGAGAUGAAAUGUGAACGUCAGUGAUCUCCCCUUUGAAAACGCCUCAGUCAGCCUUCAUUGAGCUUUGUCGUCUUUAGGGUGGUAAAGACUGUAGUAAUAUGCCCUCAUAAACACUCAGACGAGGGAAAAGAUCGUGCUGAGACGGGUACUAUUCAUGCACAGCUAUAUGGUUCUAGGAAUUUGGUCAAACAAUAUCUUCUGCGUCUUAUUGCCGAGCAACAAUGCAUGACCUUAUAAGAACAGCAGUAAAGUAUUAAGAAUUUAAAUGACCUGACAUUUCUUUGUGUUUAGCAUGUCCAUUAAUUGGCUUGAACUUUUACUUUCCGCCUUUUUAGUGUGCUGCUUCCAUUUCCCUCGACUUGAAGUGACCAGUGAAUCAGACAAUUGUUGUUAAACUGUAGAUGUUGAGUACUAAGAAAAGGAAUUAAUGAGUUCAAGGCCUCCUGGAAAUACUUGAAACCAUUUUCAUGUUAAAUUGCAUUUGUAUUAUAGCAGCUCAGGGACUGCUGCAGAAAAUAAGCAAAUUGGCGAAACUGGCAGACAUGCUGAUUAAACGUUUUGAUAAAUAUUACACAACACGGCAGUAACAUAACCAAUGUUGUAACAAGGAGCAAACUGCUCAUCUAGCUGGAAUACCGCUGAUGAGUUCACUGACAGUAUGCCGAGGAGAACCCGCUUUAGUUUCACACAAACAGCUAUGCCACGGAAACAUUUAUGUAUCAUGUAUGUAGAGGCGGGCGGCACGGUGG